ACGGGUGAGUAAUACAUCGGAACGUAUCCUGGAGUGGGGGAUAGCCCAGCGAAAGCCGGAUUAAUACCGCAUACGCUCUGAGGAGGAAAGCGGGGGACCUUCGGGCCUCGCGCUCAAGGGGCGGCCGAUGGCGGAUUAGGUAGUUGGUGGGGUAAAGGCCUACCAAGCCGACGAUCCGUAGCUGGUCUGAGAGGACGACCAGCCACACUGGGACUGAGACACGGCCCAGACUCCUACGGGAGGCAGCAGUGGGGAAUUUUGGACAAUGGGGGCAACCCUGAUCCAGCAAUGCCGUGUGUGUGAAGAAGGCCUUCGGGUUGUAAAGCACUUUUGUCCGGAAAGAAAUCAUCGGGGCCAAUACCCCUGGUGGAUGACGGUACCGGAAGAAUAAGCACCGGCUAACUACGUGCCAGCAGCCGCGGUAAUACGUAGGGUGCGAGCGUUAAUCGGAAUUACUGGGCGUAAAGCGUGCGCAGGCGGUGCUGUAAGACCGAUGUGAAAUCCCCGGGCUUAACCUGGGAACUGCAUUGGUGACUGCAGCGCUGGAGUAUGGCAGAGGGGGGUGGAAUUCCACGU
rnacentral:rRNA from 1 species